GACGAACGCUGGCGGCGUGCUUAACACAUGCAAGUCGAACGGUGAAGCGCCUUCCUUUUUGGUGGGUGUGGAUGAGUGGCGGACGGGUGAGUAACACGUGAGUAACCUGCCCCCUUCUUCUGGAUAACCGCAUGAAAGUGUGGCUAAUACGGGAUAUUCUGGGUCUGUCGCAUGAUGGGUCUGGGAAAGAUAUUGUUUCGGUGGGGGAUGGGCUCGCGGCCUAUCAGCUUGUUGGUGGGGUGAUGGCCUACCAAGGCGGUGACGGGUAGCCGGCCUGAGAGGGUGGACGGUCACACUGGGACGGAGACACGGCCCAGACUCCUACGGGAGGCAGCAGGGGGGAAUAUGGCACAAUGGGCGCAAGCCUGAUGCAGCGACGCCGCGUGAGGGAUGGAGGCCUUCGGGUUGUGAACCUCUUUCGCCAGUGAAGCAGGCCUGCCUCGUUUGUGGGUGGGUUGACGGUAGCUGGAUAAGAAGCGCCGGCUAACUACGUG
rnacentral:rRNA from 1 species